rnacentral:miRNA from 1 species
AAAAGUCUGUUAUGCUAAUGUU